rnacentral:sRNA from 1 species
AUAUUUUUUUUAAUAUUGUUUGUUUUGUUUUAUGUUUAAGAUAAUACUAGGUCCUCACCCGCACGUACCUAGGGUGAAUAAUAUAAAGUUUUUAGGGUUUAGUUAAAGUUAUAUUUUAUAAUUUUAGAUUUGUUUUGAGAAUUCUUACAUCAGUUGCCAUUUUUUCAAUUCCUUAUGCAAUCUACCAUAUUUUCAAUCCUCUUACAACUCCUACCACAUUUCUUAUUAAAAUUACUAAUUUACCCUCUAUAUUUAUCUUCCUUAUUUAUCUCUCCUCUCUAUUUCUCUUUCCUCUCUAUUUCUCUUUCCUCUCUAUUUAUUUUUUCUUUCUAUUAAUCUCUAUCCCCUUUAACCAAUAAACAUUAUAUUUCUUGAGACUAAACAAAUAACUUUUGUUUUUGUCUCCAAAUCUUAUCCCCGAUUUGAAAAUUUUCUGUUAUAUCUAGAUUUUGUCCCCGAUUUCACCAUCUUUCAAAAUUAUCAUGAAACUCACAUCUUAUCCACCAAUUGUUUUUCAUUUAAGGAUUCGAAUUUUAUGUAGAUUUUUCAACAUCUAUUUUGGUCCACAGAUUAGUUGAGCAUUAUUGUCUUCACUGACCCAGAUUAUUUGAUUUUUUUCAUUCGAUUGCAAAAUAACAAAAAUAUCAAGUUAUAACAUAUUAUCUUGUCUAUCAUUCGAUCUGAAUUUAUCCCCGAUCUAAUUCUAUCACUCAUUCGAUAUGAACUUGUUCCCGAUAUAACGUAUUAUUAAAAUAAAAUUAUAUGCAAUUGUAAACGUGUAGGUGAAGUCAAUAACGUUCAACUAAUCUGUGAAUCAAAAUAGAUAGCAAAAAAUCUAAAUAAAAUUUGAAAUCCUUAAAUGAGAAUAAUUGGUGGACAAGAUGUAGGAUUAAUAAUAAUAGAGCAAGAUGAUGAAAUGGAGGACAAGACGUAGACGCAACAGAGAAUUUCUAAACGGGGACAAGAUCUGGAGAGAAAAACAAAAGUCUGUCACCAAUUGUCCUUUAUCUGACACAUCAGUCUGUCACCAUCAAGGGCAAUUUCGUUCACAAAUGUGCAUGUGACAAUGAAAUAUGGUAGAUUUUGUAAGGUGAGGUAGAAUAGGGUAGGGUUUGUAAGAUUUGGAGUAGAAUAUGACAGAUUUUGCAAGAUUCUCUUUGUUUUGUGAAUUAAAUUAUACAAAAAUAUGGAGUUAUUAAUUAUAGAGAAAUUCUCAUAAAUAGCACUUUUUAAGUUUUUGGACAAAAAUAACAUUAAAAAGUUUUUUAGACAUAAAUAGCACUCAAAUAAUUAUUUGAAAAAUUCCUACAAGUAACAGUAAAACAAGUUUUAUGGACAAUAAUAAUACCACAAUUUUAUAUAAAUUCUAUUCAACCAAAAUAAAUUAGAAAUAAAUUUAAAAUAUUAUAUUUGGGUUCUCUAUUUCCAAUUUAAGGUAUAUAUUUCAACUAUGUAAAAGAAAUUUUGAUUCAUUUUAAUAUUAGUUUAUGGUAUUAUAUUUGGGUUUUCUAUUUCCAAUUUAGGGUAUAUAUUUUCACCAUUUAAAAGAGAUUUUUCAUUUUAAAAUUAGUUUGUAGUAUUAUAUUUGAGUUUUUUAUUUCCAAUUUAGGGUAUAUAUUUCCACUAGUUAAAAGUUUUUUGAUUCAAUUUAAUAUUAGAUUAGUGUUUGCUCUCAUUUUUAUGUGGAAGAUUGAUACAAAUGGUAAUAAAAAAACUUUAUUAU